UAUUGGACAAUGGGGGCAACCCUGAUCCAGCCAUGCCGCGUGUGUGAAGAAGGCCUUCGGGUUGUAAAGCACUUUAAGUGGGGAGGAAGGGGUGAUUAUUAAUACUGAUCAUCAUUGACGCUACCCACAGAAUAAGCACCGGCUAACUCUGUGCCAGCAGCCGCGGUAAUACAGAGGGUGCAAGCGUUAAUCGGAAUUACUGGGCGUAAAGCGCGCGUAGGCGGCUGAUUAAGUCGGGUGUGAAAGCCCCGGGCUCAACCUGGGAAUUGCAUCCGAUACUGAUUGGCUAGAGUAUGAGAGAGGGAGGUAGAAUUCCACGUGUAGCGGUGAAAUGCGUAGAUAUGUGGAGGAAUACCGGUGGCGAAGGCGGCCUCCUGGCUUAAUACUGACGCUAAGGUGCGAAAGCGUGGGGAUCAAACAG
rnacentral:rRNA from 1 species